rnacentral:rRNA from 1 species
UACGGAAGGGGCAAGCGUUGUUCGGAAUCAUUGGGCGUAAAGGGCGCGUAGGUGGUCGUGUAUGUCUCCCGUGAAAGCCCACGGCUCGACCGUGGUGUGUCGGGAGAAACUGCAGGACUUGAGGCUGGGAGGGGCUGGUGGAAUUCCCUGUGUAGCGGUGAAAUGCGUAGAGAUGGGGGAGAACACUCGUGGCGAAGGCGGCCAGCUAGACCAGUUCUGACACUGAGGCGCGACAGCGUGGGGAGCAAACAGG